ensembl:lncRNA
GCUAUACUGCGACGUGGGGCGGGAUUGGACCAGCCUAUGUGACAAAUGAUGAGGCUUUUCAGAGGCGUUCACGCGGUGCAGAUGCCCUUUCCAUCAUGGCAGGAUCUUGCUCCUGAUGUCCCCUUUGUCACUGUGACUGACGGCAUCGAGGGCAAGAGCAGGAGGGGUCACCCGCUCCCUGACGCAGGACCACCUGUCAGAGUCAGCGGCGCUCAACUGAUGACGUUUAAGAUCAAACUCGGGGGCAGUGGACUUCACUUCAAGGAUGAAUGCCUCAUAAACUCAGCGGCGGAGCAUUCAUUAGCACCAUUAGACCCAAACUUUCAAAGGGGGGGCCGUGCCAUUGACCCGAAUGGAGCGAAUUUGGUCGGAAUCAUCACUCACCCAAUGUCCAGUGUUUGAUCCUUUCCUCGGGGGUCCUACUUGUCGACAUUUUUUUUGGGCUGAUGGCCCAUAUCUGCUUUUUACGGUGGUCCCUUGCCUUCCGGAGGAAGUUCAGCGAAGCAGGAAAUUGAAAAAGGUGGUGCAACCAGAUUGAAAGCCCAUCACCUUUAUUAAGCCUUGUUUGCGCAGACAGAAAAGUGAGCGUGUUCAUUUCACGCCUAAAGUUACAAGUGUCAGCUGCAGCCGUUUUCUACUUAACCGGGAAUGGGGAGCCGAGACGGAGCUGCUGUUAUCGUCGCUGGCCUUUUAACAGGUGUGGCGGAUCACUAGAACAUCACCUCGGCGAGCUUGCCCGUUGAUGUACGGCUUAUUUUGCACUCCAAGUCAGCAAUCAACAUAACCGGAGAGGAAUUUUAUGUUGAUACGCCGGUAAAAAUCUCCCUGUGAUCCCGAUGAAUCAACCUCAGUAGAAACAGGAUCAGAGUAUUUCAGAGGAACACGAAAUCACAGCGACAUCGGUGAAACUUGCACUUCAGGAAUGAUUCUCUUUUCCUGCAGUGUCGUUGUUAAUAUUAUCUUUUGACGUCUCGCUGUGGAGGCAUAUUAGCAACAAGGGGAAGACAGCCAGCUGCAACAGUGGUCCGAAGUCACCCUGUGAGAACCCCGCAGAACCCCACACUUAGACAAGAAGCGGGGGCCAUGAGGGACGGGGAUUUAAAAGUGGGUCACGAAAAGAACGUCGAGGGGCCGCUGUGGAAAAAAAAUAAAUAAGAAAAAAGUAAUUUGCUGAGAAUUGAAUUUCUCAUGAUGCUUGAGGGAAAUGGAGCUGUCAAAAGUAUUCCAGUCGUGCGAGAGCCGCACUUUCUACGAC